AACGCACAUUGCGCCCUUUGGUAUUCCGAAGGGCAUGCCUGUUCGAGCGUCAUUAUCACCCCUCAAGCCCCGUGCUUGGUGUUGGACGGCCGGUCGAGGUUCGCCCCGACCCCUCCUAAAGACAAUGACGGCGACCUGUGGUUCCCCCGGUACACUGAGCUUUUCGCAGAGCACGUGCCGGACGAGGGCGCCCGGGUCACGGUCCCCUCCUCCCCGUGAGGAAAUAUUUUUCAAGGUUGACCUCGGAUCAGGUAGGAAUACGCGCUGAACUUAA
rnacentral:misc_RNA from 1 species